rnacentral:rRNA from 1 species
GAUGAACGCUGGCGGCGUGCCUAAUACAUGCAAGUCGAGCGAACGGACGAGAAGCUUGCUUCUCUGAUGUUAGCGGCGGACGGGUGAGUAACACGUGGAUAACCUACCUAUAAGACUGGGAUAACUUCGGGAAACCGGAGCUAAUACCGGAUAAUAUUUUGAACCGCAUGGUUCAAAAGUGAAAGACGGUCUUGCUGUCACUUAUAGAUGGAUCCGCGCUGCAUUAGCUAGUUGGUAAGGUAACGGCUUACCAAGGCAACGAUGCAUAGCCGACCUGAGAGGGUGAUCGGCCACACUGGAACUGAGACACGGUCCAGACUCCUACGGGAGGCCGCAGUAGGGAAUCUUCCGCAAUGGGCGAAAGCCUGACGGAGCAACGCCGCGUGAGUUAUGAAGGUCUUCGGAUCGUAAAACUCUGUUAUUAGGGAAGAACAUAUGUGUAAGUAACUGUGCACAUCUUGACGGUACCUAAUCAGAAAGCCACGGCUAACUACGUG